UACGGGGGGGGCAAGCGUUGUUCGGAAUUACUGGGCGUAAAGGGCUCGUAGGUGGCCAACUAAGUCAGACGUGAAAUCCCUCGGCUUAACCGGGGAACUGCGUCUGAUACUGGAUGGCUUGAGUUUGGGAGAGGGACGCGGAAUUCCCGGUGUAGCGGUGAAAUGCGUAGAGAUCGGGAGGAAGGCCGGUGGCGAAGGCGGCGCUCGUGGACCGGUAUUGACGCUGAGGCGCGAAAGCCAGGGGAGCCAAAGCGGG
rnacentral:rRNA from 1 species